UACGAAGGGGGCUAGCGUUGCUCGGAAUUACUGGGCGUAAAGGGCGCGUAGGCGGCACUGUUAGUCAGGCGUGAAAGUCCUGGGCUCAACCUGGGAACUGCGCUUGAUACGGCAGAGCUAGAGGAUGGAAGAGGCUCGCGGAAUUCCCAGUGUAGAGGUGAAAUUCGUAGAUAUUGGGAAGAACACCGGUGGCGAAGGCGGCGAGCUGGACCUCUUCUGACGCUGAUGCGCGAAAGCCAGGGGAGCGAACGGG
rnacentral:rRNA from 1 species